GACGAACGCUGGUGGCGUGCUUAACACAUGCAAGUCGAACGGAAAGGCCCUGCUUUUGUGGGGUGCUCGAGUGGCGAACGGGUGAGUAACACGUGAGUAACCUGCCCUUGACUUUGGGAUAACUUCAGGAAACUGGGGCUAAUACCGGAUAGGAGCUCCUGCUGCAUGGUGGGGGUUGGAAAGUUUCGGCGGUUGGGGAUGGACUCGCGGCUUAUGAGCUUGUUGGUGGGGUAGUGGCUUACCAAGGCUUUGACGGGUAGCCGGCCUGAGAGGGUGACCGGCCACAUUGGGACUGAGAUACGGCCCAGACUCCUACGGGAGGCAGCAGUGGGGAAUAUUGCACAAUGGGCGGAAGCCUGAUGCAGCAACGCCGCGUGCGGGAUGACGGCCUUCGGGUUGUAAACCGCUUUCGCCUGUGACGAAGCGUGAGUGACGGUAAUGGGUAAAGAAGCACCGGCUAACUACGUG
rnacentral:rRNA from 1 species